CCUGGCGAUCGAGAGCUUCGCCGACGGCGACGCCCAUCAUCUUGCCCGCAUUCCCCUCCGUGCUGCUCGUGAGAAUGAUGCCGUUGGCGCCGAGCUGGGCGGCCUGCUUGCGAAGCUCGCUCGCGUGCUGCUGGACGUCCUUCGCGGGAAGGAGCGCCACCUCGCGGUAUGGAUAGGGGACGCGCCCGGCGGCGGCGAACAGAGCGACGCCGUUGGGGCAGAUCGGUAGAUCGGGGGCGCGUGCGGUCGACUUCGAAUUCAAGCAUGCGCCGAGGAAUGCGGCGACCGUCGCGGCAGCAGCACGAGUGAUCAUAAGGCGUCCGUGUUGAG
rnacentral:misc_RNA from 1 species